GACCCGUCUUGAAACACGGACCAAGGAGUCUAACAUGUGCGCGAGUCGUCGGGUCUUGAAUAGGCCCGCAGGCGAAAUGAAAGUGAAGGACGACGACCCCCGUCGUCGUCCGCGUUGGGAUCCCCGGUCCCUAGAGUCUGGGGCGCACCAACGGCCCGUCCCGUCCGCGACGUCGGUGGGACGGAGCGAGAGCGUACACGUUGGGACCCGAAAGAUGGUGAACUAUGCCUGGGCAGGACGAGGCCAGAGGAAACUCUGGUGGAGGUCCGCAGCGAUUCUGACGUGCAAAUCGAUCGUCAGACCUGGGUAUAGGGGCGAAAGACUAAUCGAACCGUCUAGUAGCUGGUUCCUUCCGA
rnacentral:rRNA from 1 species